rnacentral:misc_RNA from 1 species
CAGGAGCACAUUGAUCUUGGAAUUAAAUAUGAUCCUUCAACUGGUAUUUAUGGAAUGGAUUUCUAUGUUGUAUUGGAGCGCCCUGGCUACCGUGUUGCCCGUCGUCGCAGGUGCAAGUCUCGAGUCGGGAUUCAGCACAGGGUCACUAAGGAGGAUUCAAUGAAGUGGUUCCAGGUCAAAUAUGAAGGUGUUAUCCUUAACAAGUCCUCAAACAUUCAGUGAUAAGCUGAGUGCCAACUUUUGGACCAGCUUGUCUCCUGGCAAGUUUAUUUUUAUGUAUUUUUGUAGACAGCCAUCGAUAUUACUAUUAAAGGAAUGUUUUGGAGAGAUUCUAGUUGGCAAAUUAGUAUGUUUUACUUCUCAUUUUGGCAAUCAGAUGAAUUCAAAUCUUUGUGAUGG